GGUUAAGCGACUAAGCGUACACGGUGGAUGCCCUGGCAGUCAGAGGCGAUGAAGGACGUGCUAAUCUGCGAAAAGCGUCGGUAAGGUGAUAUGAACCGUUAUAACCGGCGAUGUCCGAAUGGGGAAACCCAGUGUGAUUCGUCACACUAUCGUUAACUGAAUACAUAGGUUAACGAGGCGAACCGGGGGAACUGAAACAUCUAAGUACCCCGAGGAAAAGAAAUCAACCGAGAUUCCCCCAGUAGCGGCGAGCGAACGGGGAGCAGCCCAGAGUCUGAAUCAGCUUGUGUGUUAGUGGAACGGUCUGGAAAGUCCGACGGUACAGGGUGAUAGUCCCGUACACCAAAAUGCACAGGUUGUGAACUCGAAGAGUAGGGCGGGACACGUGGUAUCCUGUCUGAAUAUGGGGGGACCAUCCUCCAAGGCUAAAUACUCCUGACUGACCGAUAGUGAACCAGUACCGUGAGGGAAAGGCGAAAAGAACCCCGGCGAGGGGAGUGAAAAAGAACCUGAAACCGUGUACGUACAAGCAGUGGGAGCACCUUCGGGUGUGACUGCGUACCUUUUGUAUAAUGGGUCAGCGACUUAUAUUCUGUAGCAAGGUUAACCGUAUAGGGGAGCCGCAGGGAAACCGAGUCUUAACUGGGCGUUAAGUUGCAGGGUAUAGACCCGAAACCCGGUGAUCUAGCCAUGGGCAGGUUGAAGGUUGGGUAACACUAACUGGAGGACCGAACCGACUAAUGUUGAAAAAUUAGCGGAUGACUUGUGGCUGGGGGUGAAAGGCCAAUCAAACCGGGAGAUAGCUGGUUCUCCCCGAAAGCUAUUUAGGUAGCGCCUCGUGAACUCAUCUUCGGGGGUAGAGCACUGUUUCGGCUAGGGGGUCAUCCCGACUUACCAACCCGAUGCAAACUACGAAUACCGAAGAAUGUUAUCACGGGAGACACACGGCGGGUGCUAACGUCCGUCGUGAAGAGGGAAACAACCCAGACCGCCAGCUAAGGUCCCAAAGUCAUGGUUAAGUGGGAAACGAUGUGGGAAGGCACAGACAGCCAGGAUGUUGGCUUAGAAGCAGCCAUCAUUUAAAGAAAGCGUAAUAGCUCACUGGUCGAGUCGGCCUGCGCGGAAGAUGUAACGGGGCUAAACCAUGCACCGAAGCUGCGGCAGCGACACUAUGUGUUGUUGGGUAGGGGAGCGUUCUGUAAGCCUGCGAAGGUGACCUGUGAGGGUUGCUGGAGGUAUCAGAAGUGCGAAUGCUGACAUAAGUAACGAUAAAGCGGGUGAAAAGCCCGCUCGCCGGAAGACCAAGGGUUCCUGUCCAACGUUAAUCGGGGCAGGGUGAGUCGACCCCUAAGGCGAGGCCGAAAGGCGUAGUCGAUGGGAAACAGGUUAAUAUUCCUGUACUUGGUGUUACUGCGAAGGGGGGACGGAGAAGGCUAUGUUAGCCGGGCGACGGUUGUCCCGGUUUAAGCAUGUAGGCUGGUUGUCCAGGCAAAUCCGGAUAAUCAAGGCUGAGGUGUGAUGACGAGGCACUACGGUGCUGAAGUAACAAAUGCCCUGCUUCCAGGAAAAGCCUCUAAGCAUCAGGUAACAUCAAAUCGUACCCCAAACCGACACAGGUGGUCAGGUAGAGAAUACCAAGGCGCUUGAGAGAACUCGGGUGAAGGAACUAGGCAAAAUGGUGCCGUAACUUCGGGAGAAGGCACGCUGGUGUGUAGGUGAAGUCCCUGCGGAUGGAGCUGAGACCAGUCGAAGAUACCAGCUGGCUGCAACUGUUUAUUAAAAACACAGCACUGUGCAAACACGAAAGUGGACGUAUACGGUGUGACGCCUGCCCGGUGCCGGAAGGUUAAUUGAUGGGGUUAUCCGUAAGGAGAAGCUCUUGAUCGAAGCCCCGGUAAACGGCGGCCGUAACUAUAACGGUCCUAAGGUAGCGAAAUUCCUUGUCGGGUAAGUUCCGACCUGCACGAAUGGCGUAAUGAUGGCCAGGCUGUCUCCACCCGAGACUCAGUGAAAUUGAACUCGCUGUGAAGAUGCAGUGUACCCGCGGCAAGACGGAAAGACCCCGUGAACCUUUACUAUAGCUUGACACUGAACAUUGAGCCUUGAUGUGUAGGAUAGGUGGGAGGCUUUGAAGCGUGGACGCCAGUCUGCGUGGAGCCAACCUUGAAAUACCACCCUUUAAUGUUUGAUGUUCUAACGUUGGCCCCUUACCGGGGUUGCGGACAGUGUCUGGUGGGUAGUUUGACUGGGGCGGUCUCCUCCCAAAGCGUAACGGAGGAGCACGAAGGUUAGCUAAUCCUGGUCGGACAUCAGGAGGUUAGUGCAAUGGCAUAAGCUAGCUUGACUGCGAGCGUGACGGCGCGAGCAGGUGCGAAAGCAGGUCAUAGUGAUCCGGUGGUUCUGAAUGGAAGGGCCAUCGCUCAACGGAUAAAAGGUACUCCGGGGAUAACAGGCUGAUACCGCCCAAGAGUUCAUAUCGACGGCGGUGUUUGGCACCUCGAUGUCGGCUCAUCACAUCCUGGGGCUGAAGUAGGUCCCAAGGGUAUGGCUGUUCGCCAUUUAAAGUGGUACGCGAGCUGGGUUUAGAACGUCGUGAGACAGUUCGGUCCCUAUCUGCCGUGGGCGCUGGAGAAUUGAGGGGGGCUGCUCCUAGUACGAGAGGACCGGAGUGGACGCAUCACUGGUGUUCGGGUUGUCAUGCCAAUGGCACUGCCCGGUAGCUAAAUGCGGAAGAGAUAAGUGCUGAAAGCAUCUAAGCACGAAACUUGCCCCGAGAUGAGUUCUCCCUGAGACUUUAAGUCUCCUGAAGGAACGUUGAAGACGACGACGUUGAUAGGCCGGGUGUGUAAGCGCAGCGAUGCGUUGAGCUAACCGGUACUAAUGAACCGUGAGGCUUAACCUU
rnacentral:rRNA from 1 species